AUUGAACGCUGGCGGCAUGCCUUACACAUGCAAGUCGAACGGUAACAGGUCUUCGGAUGCUGACGAGUGGCGAACGGGUGAGUAAUACAUCGGAACGUGCCUAGUAGUGGGGGAUAACUACUCGAAAGAGUGGCUAAUACCGCAUGAGAUCUACGGAUGAAAGCGGGGGAUCGCAAGACCUUGUGCUACUAGAGCGGCCGAUGGCAGAUUAGGUAGUUGGUGGGAUAAAAGCUUACCAAGCCGACGAUCUGUAGCUGGUCUGAGAGGACGAUCAGCCACACUGGGACUGAGACACGGCCCAGACUCCUACGGGAGGCAACAGUGGGGAAUUUUGGACAAUGGGCGAAAGCCUGAUCCAGCAAUGCCGCGUGCAGGAUGAAGGCCUUCGGGUUGUAAACUGCUUUUGUACGGAACGAAAAGCCCCGGGUUAAUACCCUGGGGUCAUGACGGUACCGUAAGAAUAAGCACCGGCUAACUACGUGCCAGCCGCCGCGGUAA
rnacentral:rRNA from 1 species